GAUGAACGCUAGCGAUAGGCUUAACACAUGCAAGUCGAGGGGUAACGUGUUGGAAGCUUGCUUCCGAUGACGACGACCGGCGGAUGGGUGCGUAACGCGUAUGCAACUUGCCUCACAGUGGAGAAUAACCCGGAGAAAUCCGGACUAAUACUCCAUACACUCUUAAGUACGCCUGUACAUGAGAGGAAAGAUUUAUCGCUGUGAGAUAGGCAUGCGUCCUAUUAGGUAGUUGGUGAGGUAACGGCUCACCAAGCCGACGAUAGGUAGGGGUGCUGAGAGGCAGAUCCCCCACGAUGGGACUGAGACACGGCCCAAACUCCGACGGGAGGCAGCAGUGAUGAAUAUUGGUCAAUGGAGGAAACUCUGAACCAGCCAAGUCGCGUGAAGGAAGAAUGUCCUAAGGAAUGUAAACUUCUUGAGCGAGCGAGUAAGGACUUCCACGUGAUGGGAGUUUGAAAGUAGCUAGAGAAUAAGUAUCGGCUAACUCCGUG
rnacentral:rRNA from 1 species